CACAUAACUGUGAUUUUCUAGGUUAAAUAUAUGCGACCGUUCUCAAAAGGCACAAUAUCUGGACAUAUUGAUCAAAUUUCUCUUUUUUUCCCCCUGAGUAGUCUUUUUUUAAGAAAUGCAUUGUGUGAUUUGGCCACAAGAGGGCUCCGUUGUCCACUUUAGUUCAGCUGAUUAGAGUAAACUAAAUCUGAUGGUUUUCUGUUCCAAGUACACUUUCACUGCAAAGCUCACACACGUGUCAAAUUCAUACUGCUGACUCGUUUCCCCAUACCAGGUCCCCCAGAUUGUGGGUGGUACACAAAGGAGAGCUUAUAUUUGAUGCCCAGUUGUUUUUUUAGGCAGCUAAGUAUGCUGUUCCACUCUGCUCCCCUUCCUGAUCAAAUCAGCAAAUGCACCUGCUCCUCAUCAUCCCGUCAGCCUCCAACUCUUUAAAAAACCUGGUUCUCCAGCCACUCGUUGCCAGAUCAUUCCAGCUACCAGUGUGGUAUUGACGUUAAAGCCACCUUCCGAGUUAAUGCUCUGUUUUUGUUUCUUCCAUGUUUGUUCCCUGUGUAAUCCUGCUUCUCCUGUACUCCAGAGCUGCAUCUCACCCUGCUUGUCUGCCUGCCUGCACUCUGUAGUACCCAGCCCCUGCUUCCCUUCAACCUGUGGCUCAUGGGCAGAGUGUCAAGUCCAGGUUCAAGUCCCAGCCUCAACAGAUGCACCUAGCCAUGCCCUUCCCCACACAUCUCUACCUUCCCUUAUUCUUUCAAUAAAACCCGUUUAACCUUCU